AGAAUCAACGCUGGCGGCGUGCCUAACACAUGCAAGUCGCACGAGAAAGGGGACUUCGGUUCCUGAGUACAGUGGCGCACGGGUGAGUAACACGUGAAUAAUCUACCUCCGAGUGGGGAAUAACUGAGAGAAAUCUUAGCUAAUACCGCAUAACACUUACGAGUCAAAGCAGCAAUGCGCUUGGAGAGGAGUUCGCGGCAGAUUAGUUAGUUGGCGGGGUAAUGGCCCACCAAGACGAUGAUCUGUAUCCGGCCUGAGAGGGCGCACGGACACACUGGAACUGAAACACGGUCCAGACUCCUACGGGAGGCAGCAGUGGGGAAUUUUGCGCAAUGGGGGAAACCCUGACGCAGCAACGCCGCGUGGAGGAUGAAAUCCCUUGGGAUGUAAACUCCUUUCGAUCGGGAAGAUAAUGACGGUACCGGGAGAAGAAGCCCGGCUAACUUCGUGCCAGCAGCCGC
rnacentral:rRNA from 1 species